AGUCAUAUGCUUGUCUCAAAGAUUAAGCCAUGCAUGUCUAAGUAUAAAUCUUUUAUACGAUGAAACUGCGAACGGCUCAUUAUAUCAGCAAUAAUUUAUUUGAUGGUUCCUUACUACAUGGAUAACUGUGGUAAUUCUAGAGCUAAUACAUGCGUAAAGUCCCGACUCUCGCGGGGAGGGAUGUAUUUAUUAGAUAAAAAACCAAUACGCUUCUGGCGUUUUUGUGGUGAAUCAUAGUAACUUUUCGAAUCGCAUGGCUUCACGCCGGCGAUAGUUCAUUCAAAUUUCUGCCCUAUCAGCUUUCGACGGUAGUGUAGUGGACUACCGUGGCGUUAACGGG
rnacentral:rRNA from 1 species